rnacentral:rRNA from 1 species
UGGGGAAUAUUGGGGCAAUGGACGCAAGUCUGACCCAGCAACGCCGCGUGAAGGAAGAAGGCUUUCGGGUUGUAAACUUCUUUUAAGGGGGAACAGUAGAAGACGGUACCUGAUGAAUAAGCCACGGCUAACUACGUGCCAGCAGCCGCGGUAAUACGUAGGUGGCAAGCGUUAUCCGGAUUUACUGGGUGUAAAGGGCGCGUAGGCGGGGAUGCAAGUCAGAUGUGAAAUCUAUGGGCUUAACCCAUAAACUGCAUUUGAAACUGUAUCUCUCGAGUGUCGGAGAGGUAGACGGAAUUCCUAGUGUAGCGGUGAAAUGCGUAGAUAUUAGGAGGAACACCAGUGGCGAAGGCGGUCUACUGGACGAUAACUGACGCUGAGGCGCGAAAGCGUGGGGAGCAAACAGGAUUAGA